CAUCACUGGUGUUCGGGUUGUCAUGCCAAUGGCACUGCCCGGUAGCUAAAUGCGGAAGAGAUAAGUGCUGAAAGCAUCUAAGCACGAAACUUGCCCCGAGAUGAGUUCUCCCUGAGACUUAGAGUCUCCUGAAGGAACGUUGAAGACGACGACGUUGAUAGGCCGGGUGUGUAAGCGCAGCGAUGCGUUGAGCUAACCGGUACUAAUGAACCGUGAGGCUUAACCUUACAACGCCGAAGCUGUU
rnacentral:rRNA from 1 species